rnacentral:rRNA from 1 species
CAGCAGCCGCGGGAAAACGAAGGGGGCUAGCGUUGUUCGGGUUUACUGGGCGUAAAGCGCACGUAGGCGGAUCGAUCAGUCAGGGGUGAAAUCCCAGAGCUCAACUCUGGAACUGCCUUUGAUACUGUCGAUCUGGAGUAUGGAAGAGGUGAGUGGAAUUCCGAGUGUAGAGGUGAAAUUCGUAGAUAUUCGGAGGAACACCAGUGGCGAAGGCGGCUCACUGGUCCAUUACUGACGCUGAGGUGCGAAAGCGUGGGGAGCAAACAGGAUUAGAUACCCCAGUAGUCCCUGUCUCUUAUAC